rnacentral:rRNA from 1 species
AUUGAACGCUGGCGGCAUGCCUUACACAUGCAAGUCGAACGGCAGCACGGGGCAACCUGGUGGCGAGUGGCGAACGGGUGAGUAAUGCAUCGGAACGUACCUUUCAGUGGGGGAUAACGUAGCGAAAGUUACGCUAAUACCGCAUAUUCUGUGAGCAGGAAAGCAGGGGAUCGCAAGACCUUGCGCUGAUUGAGCGGCCGAUGUCAGAUUAGCUAGUUGGUGAGGUAAAGGCUCACAAAGGCGACGAUCUGUAGCGGGUCUGAGAGGAUGAUCCGCCACACUGGAACUGAGACACGGUCCAGACUCCUACGGGAGGCAGCAGUGGGGAAUUUUGGACAAUGGGGGCAACCCUGAUCCCGCCAUGCCGCGUGAGUGAAGAAGGCCUUCGGGUUGUAAAGCUCUUUCGGCCGGGAAGAAAUCGCACGGGCUAAUACCCUGUGUGGAUGACGGUACCGGAAUAAGAAGCACCGGCUAACUACGUGCCAGCCGCCGCUGUAAUAC